rnacentral:rRNA from 1 species
GAUGAACGCUGGCGGCGUGCCUAAUACAUGCAAGUCGAGCGAACAGACGAGGAGCUUGCUCCUCUGACGUUAGCGGCGGACGGGUGAGUAACACGUGGAUAACCUACCUAUAAGACUGGGAUAACUUCGGGAAACCGGAGCUAAUACCGGAUAAUAUAUUGAACCGCAUGGUUCAAUAGUGAAAGACGGUUUUGCUGUCACUUAUAGAUGGAUCCGCGCCGCAUUAGCUAGUUGGUAAGGUAACGGCUUACCAAGGCGACGAUGCGUGGCCGACCUGAGAGGGUGAUCGGCCACACUGGAACUGAGACACGGUCCAGACUCCUACGGGAGGCAGCAGUAGGGAAUCUUCCGCAAUGGGCGAAAGCCUGACGGAGCAACGCCGCGUGAGUGAUGAAGGUCUUCGGAUCGUAAAACUCUGUUAUUAGGGAAGAACAAAUGUGUAAGUAACUAUGCACGUCCUGACGGUACCUAAUCAGAAAGCCACGGCUAACUACGUG